GACGAACGCUGGCGGCGUGCUUAACACAUGCAAGUCGAACGGGAAGGCCCUGCUUUUGUGGGGUGCUCGAGUAGCGAACGGGUGAGUAACACGUGAGUAACCUGCCCUUGACUUUGGGAUAACUUCAGGAGACUGGGGCUCAUACCGGAUAGGAGCUCCUGCUGCAUGGUGGGGGUUGGAAAGUUUGGGCGGUUGGGGAUGGACUCGCGGCUUAUCAGCUUGUUGGUGGGGUAGUGGCUUACCAAGGCUUUGACGGGUAGCCUGCAUGAGAGGGUGACCGGCCACAUUGGGACUGAGAUACGGCCCAGACUCCUACGGGAGGCAGCAGUGGGGAAUAUUGCACAAUGGGCGGAAGCCUGAUGCAGCAACGCCGCGUGCGGGAUGACGGCCUUCGGGUUGUAAACCGCUUUCGCCUGUGACGAAGCGUGAGUGACGGUAAUGGGUAAAGAAGCACCGGCUAACUACGUG
rnacentral:rRNA from 1 species